rnacentral:rRNA from 1 species
GAUGAACGCUAGCGGCAGGCUUAACACAUGCAAGUCGAGGGGUAUAGUUCUUCGGAGCUAGAGACCGGCGCACGGGUGCGUAACGCGUAUGCAAUCUACCUUUUGCAGAGGGAUAGCCCAGAGAGAUUUGGAUUAAUACCUCAUGGUAUGUGAGAAUGGCAUCAUUUUCACAUUAAAGUCACAACGGCAAAAGAUGAGCAUGCGUCCCAUUAGCUAGUUGGUAAGGUAACGGCUUACCAAGGCAACGAUGGGUAGGGGUCCUGAGAGGGAGAUCCCCCACACUGGUACUGAGACACGGACCAGACUCCUACGGGAGGCAGCAGUGAGGAAUAUUGGACAAUGGGCGCAAGCCUGACCCAGCCAUGCCGCGUGCAGGAUGACGGUCCUAUGGAUUGUAAACUGCUUUUGUACAGGAAGAAACACUGGUUCGUGAACCAGCUUGACGGUACUGUAAGAAUAAGGAUCGGCUAACUCCGUGCCAGCAGCCGCCGUAACAC